CUCUUACUCUUGCCCUGGCCCUUGACUGUGGCGUUGGCUGUGUGUUAUCUGUGGGUGUAAUUUUCUCACGGUUCAGUUUUCAGUUGGACGCGGGAUUGAAUUGCGUUUGCACAUUUCCCUUUUCGUGUUUUUAUUGCUCGCUCGCUCGACGGCUCGGCUCCUCGUUUGCCUUUUCGCCAACACUUUUUGUGGGUGAUUACGAUUGCGAGAGAAGGAGGAAGCCAGAGCCCAGAGCCCAGAGCCCUGAUCCGUAGCCGGAGCCGGAGCAUGGAGCUGCGAGCGAGCACCUGGAUAAAUAUCUUAUCUUUCGUCGACUUGAGUUCGCAUUGGGUUUCCUACGUUUCCUCGCUGCUCUUUCUUGGUGGGUUGUGUCGUGUCGUAUCAUAUCGCUUCUGCUUUCAGCGCCUCAUAUCACAUAUUAAUUUGGGAGUAGCGUGGGAAAGCUCGCGAAUUGUUGCCAAUUCGCAUGCGAACUGUUGUUCAUCCGCUAUCGCCGCUAUCAAGUGUUUGGAUUGUUUGCCCUGUGCGCAAACAAACAUUCAGCCAAAGCAAAUCUUCCGCCGUCGAGUAGGCGUUGGGAAAUGUCAAUAGGGCUCAAGGUCCCCAAGUCAUAGGUGGAGUCUUAGGCUUACGCUGUGAAAUAGAUUUUGAGGAAAUACAUUUAAAUGCUAGCGAUUGUUAACCGGAAUCCCAACAACAUCAUUAAGGAAUUGGCGGACAGUUUCUCCACAUGAACUUCUUUCUUUCUCAUUUAAAUACUUUCUAGGUCUUUUGCCGUGGAGUGUGAUACUCCCCUGUAACCGAUAAAUGUGAGUCAGUAUUACUUUGUGUGCAAAGGGAUCCGCGCAGCCUACGUGACGACCUCGCCCAGCAGCACCGCGAUCAACUUCGAUGAUGACCAAGGAGCCUGCAGGGUCCUUAGAGAUGGAGGACAAGCUUUAACAUCAUCAUCGGACUGAUCAAUGCGAUUUUUUCGAUCACAAGAAGGCGUGGAAGAUUCAGAGCGGCCCCCAAAUAAAAAAUUAAAUAAAUAAAUACAAUUACACUUAU